GCGCCCGUAGCUCAGCAGGACAGAGCAACGGUUUCCUAAACCGUGUGUCGGAGGUUCGAAUCCUUCCGGGCGCGCCA
rnacentral:tRNA from 1 species